rnacentral:rRNA from 11 species
GAUGUUACCUAAAUACUCUUAAGGCGCCAGAUCCUGUCUGAUCCCAGAAGCUGAGAAGGAUCAGCCCUGGUUAAUACUUGGAUGGAAGACUGGCUAUGGAAACCAGGUGCUGUUGGCU